CACCUGUAUGUAUAUAUGUGUGUGUACUUCAGCUAAUUUGAUUUCACUUUAGAUCAGUGGCAUGUAAAUGGCCAUGGCUGAUGCACUAUUUUUGCUGUGUGUUUCAGUGGUGGUGCAUAGCAAAGAGAGUGUUUGGAGUGAAAGACCUCCAGGUGAGUCAACACUUCAUACUGAAAUCAUACUGAUUUCCAUGCAUUCCCCAAGCUACUAGUAUUUACCUGCAACAUACAGGCCUACCUGAAAUGAUUCUAACCUAUCUCAUUUUGUAUUUUUGUAUUGAUGUUUGUUUUUUCACCAGAUGUUGCUGACCAGGACAGCCUAGGGUCCACAAAUGAAGGUCAUGUAGAGUAUACAGAGGUGGUUCAUCCUCAACCUGUAGAUCCUACACGGCUUCCUCUGAAGAAAGGCACAGAUACUGUGUACAGUGAGCUUCAGACCACUCAAGCAAGGCCUGUUAGAAUAUGCUGAACUCAACCAUGAUCUUCCUGAACCAGUGGACUGAUAGAAGUCAGUCAGCAUCCCUCACCUCCCUCUGGACUACUGUGGCCUAUGUACCAUCAAUCUUCUGUGUCCUCCACCAACAUUCUCUUUAAAAAGAACAACAAAAAAACACUGAUUUAAUCAUUAAGUUCCCUUUCCUCAUAUGAUUGAUUGUUUGUCCUAUUUGUCACAGUGCUAUACUAUUUUGUGUAUAGUCGGUACUAAAAACCACAUGCUUUUCACAAGGUUGC
rnacentral:lncRNA from 1 species